GUGGGCGUAGCUCAGUCGGUAGAGCUCCGGAUUGUGGCUCCGGCGGUCGUGGGUUCAAAUCCCAUCGUCCACCCCA
rnacentral:tRNA from 1 species